AGAACAGGGUUUUGGGGCUGUGGAGGACACGGGAGAGGGCUUCCUUAAUCCAGCAGCAGAAUAAUGUUCCAGCUGCUCCGCCCAGACGCCGAACUAACGUUCUCCCGCGCCCUCCCACAGAAUGUGACCAGCAGCUCCUCCGCCAAGUUUGAAGCUGCACUGACCUGGAUACUGAGCAGUAACAAGGACGUGGGCAUCUGGUUGAAAGGAGAAGACCAGUCUGAAUUGGUGACGACCGUGGACAAGGUGGUCUGCCUGGAAUCUGCCCACCCCCGCAUGGGUGUUGGCUGCCGCCUGAGCCGGGCCCUGCUCACUGCUGUCACCAACGUGCUCAUCUUCUUCUGGUGCUUGGCUUUUUUGUGGGGGCUCCUAAUUCUCCUAAAAUAUCGGUGGCGAAAGUUAGAAGAGGAGGAACAAGCCAUGUAUGAGAUGGUGAAGAAGAUUAUAGACGUGGUCCAGGACCAUUAUGUGGACUGGGAGCAGGACAUGGAGCGCUAUCCAUAUGUAGGCAUCCUGCACGUGCGCGACAGCUUGAUCCCUCCACAGAGCCGGAGGCGCAUGAA
rnacentral:sRNA from 1 species